AAACAAUGUAGAAUGCAUCUGGUGUGUUGCUUUUAUGCCAUAUGGCUUUUAGAAAUGUGAAGGGAACCUGAAAGCAAGGGGCUUAUUUUUCAGUUGUCAUGUCAUUCUUAAAAUCACCUGUUUGGGAGGAAUUCAGUUCUUCAGAAGAAAAAAAUGCUCUCCAUCUUCAUAGCAAAGUGAUAAGGAAUCAGAAAGAACAAUGCUGAAAUACAUAUGAUAAGAGGUCAUCCUGGAAAAGUGAGAAAGAGUGUGCAAAAAAUAACUACACCCAGAUGAAUGCAUAAAGCAUAGAAGAAGCACAAAGAAUAUAUUAGUAUAUGGAUUCUGCCUUUUUUAAAAGGAAAUAAAAUCUCAG
rnacentral:lncRNA from 1 species